rnacentral:rRNA from 1 species
AUUGAACGCUAGCGGGAUGCUUUACACAUGCAAGUCGAACGGCAGCGCGGACUUCGGUCUGGCGGCGAGUGGCGAACGGGUGAGUAAUGUAUCGGAACGUGCCCAGUAGCGGGGGAUAACUACGCGAAAGCGUAGCUAAUACCGCAUACGCCCUACGGGGGAAAGCAGGGGAUCGUAAGACCUUGCACUAUUGGAGCGGCCGAUAUCGGAUUAGCUAGUUGGUGAGGUAACGGCUCACCAAGGCGACGAUCCGUAGCUGGUUUGAGAGGACGACCAGCCACACUGGGACUGAGACACCGCCCAGACUCCUACGGGAGGCAGCAGUGGGGAAUUUUGGACAAUGGGGGCAACCCUGAUCCAGCCAUCCCGCGUGUGCGAUGAAGGCCUUCGGGUUGUAAAGCACUUUUGGCAGGAAAGAAACGUCGCGGGCUAAUACCCCGUGGAACUGACGGUACCUGCAGAAUAAGCACCGGCUAACUACGUG